ACGACUCUCGACAACGGAUAUCUCGGCUCUCGCAUCGAUGAAGAACGUAGCGAAAUGCGAUACUUGGUGUGAAUUGCAGAAUCCCGUGAACCAUCGAGUCUUUGAACGCAAGUUGCGCCCGAAGCCAUCAGGCCGAGGGCACGUCUGCCUGGGUGUCACGC
rnacentral:rRNA from 1 species